UCUUUUCUUUUUCUUUUUUUUUUGAGAUUUAGCCAAUUGCUUAUGUGAUGACCAAUUAAGAACGCCCGAUAGCCAAUAGAACGUUAAUAGAAAAUUUUUAUUUGCUUUGUAAUGACCAAUUCGUUUGAACAAUUUGCUAUUACAAAUUAAAGUUUAGUGAUCAUACUGAAAUAAAUGAAGUCUGCCUAUAGAUUAUAGAAAACCUUAAUGCCAAUCCAACAAAGCUCCACCCCACAAUUACCUAUGUCAAUUAGACAAUCACCAGAAAUCCCCCGGCAUUUUAAUACAUAACAAACAAAUUUCACGAAAAUGCAUUUUGAAGGGGAAAAGAAAAAGGAAGAAGAAAUCAAAGAAUUUAAUCCAAAAUGUGCAAGGCAGUAACUCAG
rnacentral:misc_RNA from 1 species